rnacentral:lncRNA from 1 species
GGACUCCAUAGGAGAAAGAAGCUGUGUCUUGCUUGCUCUCAAGAUACUCAGAGGGUAGCUGUUUGGUAUUCCUUGGUUAGAUCUAGGAAAAACCAUUUAUUUCCCUCUCUGUGGCUGUCUUAAGAUUCCUACCUGCUUCCUGCUGAUUAUACUACACAGAGAAAGUAGAUUUCUACUGGAGGUGCUGACAUCUCUCUAUGGAGCAAAGGAGAUUGUUAUUGGACAAAUGGUUAUCCUGCUUCUACAUAAAACCCAUCACCAUUCAAAGUAAUCAUGAAAGAAACAGCUUUCAAAGCAAUCCAUUCUACUUUUGA